GACAGAGGGUGCAAACGUUGCUCGGAAUUACUGGGCGUAAAGCGCGUGUAGGCGGAUCGCUAAGUCAGGUGUGAAAUCCCUGGGCUCAACCCGGGAACUGCAUCUGAAACUGGCGGUCUUGAGUGCUGGAGAGGGAGGCGGAAUUCCUGGUGUAGCGGUGAAAUGCGCAGAUAUCAGGAGGAACACCGGUGGCGAAGGCGGAUCACUGGCCCGAUACUGACGCUGAGGAGCGAAAGCGUGGGGAGCGAACAGG
rnacentral:rRNA from 1 species